rnacentral:tRNA from 1 species
UUCCUGAUGGUCCAGUGGUUAAGACUCUGUUUCCACUACAGGGGGCACAGGUUCGAUCCCUGGUUGGGAAA